UACGGAGGAGGCAAGCGUUAUCCGGAAUUAUUGGGCGUAAAGCGUCCGCAGGUGGCCCCUCAAGUCUGCUGUCAAAGACCGGGGCUUAACCCCAGAAAGGCAGUGGAAACUGAAGUGCUAGAGUGCAGUAGGGGUAGAGGGAAUUCCCGGUGUAGCGGUGAAAUGCGUAGAGAUCGGGAAGAACAUCGGUGGCGAAAGCGGCAUCCUGGACCAAUUCUGACGCUGAGGAGCGAAAGCCAGGGGAGCAAACGGG
rnacentral:rRNA from 1 species